AGCGAACGCUGGCGGCAGGCCUAACACAUGCAAGUCGAGCGCCCAGCAAUGGGAGCGGCAGACGGGAGAGUAACACGUGGGAACGUGCCUUUUGGUUCGGAAUAACUCAGGGAAACUUGAGCUAAUACCGGAUAAGCCCUUACGGGGAAAGAUUUAUUGCCAAAAGAGCGGCCCGCGUCCGAUUAGCUAGUUGGUGAGGUAAUGGCUCACCAAGGCGACGAUCGGUAGCUGGUCNGAGAGGAUGACCAGCCUCAUUGGGACUGAGACACGGCCCAAACUCCUACGGGAGGCAGCAGUGGGGAAUAUUGGACAAUGGGCGCAAGCCUGAUCCAGCCAUGCCGCGUGAGUGAUGAAGGCCUUAGGGUUGUAAAGCUUCUUUUAGCGAGGGAAGAUAAUGACGGUACCUGCAAG
rnacentral:rRNA from 1 species